CACGCGGACGGCCGUUGGAAGCGCGAGGCGCGCGGGGCGGUGCCUGUGUGAGGGCUGUGGCGGGGCGGCGGCGCCGAGAGGUCCUUGUGGAACCAGGUGGUGCUGCGCUGUGAAUCCAUACGGGUGUGGUACCGAGCACCCGUAGCAGGAGCUCGGGAGCUACGCAGAGCCUGAGCUCACCGUCCUUUGGCAGCGGUAACAGCAGAGCUUAUCGCUGGGAGGAGAUGGAGGUGCAGUGCCUGAGGUGCGGCAUGCUGCCUGAGAAACGGCUCUGUGAUUCCCGCCCGCUGGGACACGGGGGGUUGGGACGCAGCAGCAGGAGGGCAGCGUUUGUACACACAGACUUCAUGAAGCUGAGGGGCACGUUUCAUUUUUUAAUCAGGAGCUGAUUUCUGCACCGGUACAUCUGCUGGAACGUAAGCGUGUACAUAUUGCUAUGUGUGUGCCAACAAACUCAGCUACACAGAACUGGCCCUGCAGUAACACUGCUGCAGUCAGUGACCAAACUGAAUUCCUGCUCCUCGCAGCCAGAAUGUUGUCCAAAAGGCAACGAUGCACCAAUGUCUGUUUGAGCCCGGGGUACAGCAGGAACCUGGGAUAAUUAAUGAGACACAUGUGCAGAAGAAGGGUGGGAAGAAUAAAAAAGUGAUUUAAUGGUUCAUGACGUGAUUGGAGAAACAUACAGUGUAAGAAUAUACUGAGAAAGAAGAAUAGAAAGCAGAGACGCUCACCCCCCUCCAGCAAAGAUGAAAUCUAAGGAUAACAGGAAAUAAAGCAAUUAAGGUCAAGACUGCUAUCAAGCUUCUGUUUGGAUCAGUAUGCUCACCAGAAUCCAAGCUGCUAAACAAGCUGAGCUCCUUGACCACGCUAGCUGAGCUGACACGGCAUUUCAAGUCUUGUUACCAGUUCAAUGGUUCUCUUAUUAAAAAAAAACAGGAGUGGAAGAGCUGAGAAGAAGAAAAGGCACCUCUUCAUUUAGCCUCUCCAUCUUGAUCACUGCUGAUGGGCUAUCAAUAAUUUCAACUUGAUUAGGCAGCUGGCCUAAUCAAGGUUAAAUAAAUUCUGCCUGGCUAUUUGCAUGAUCGUACCUGGAUUCAAUAAUUUUAAUUGGAAGGAGAUUUCUUUUUGGCUACUCCCUGGGAAGUACUUACGGAGUCACAAAACAAAAUUAAAGUUGAUGGAGUAAAACAAUCACACUUCAAAAACUGUGAAAGGGAAUCUAAAAAAGAUACUAAAAUCCUCAUCCUUCUGUUUAAAAUCUAAUGUAUAUACACAUACAUAUAUGUAUAUAUACAUGCAUACACCAAUUUAGAUGAGAAACAGAAGUCAUCAGUCCUGCAGUCAAGAAAGAUUUUAACCAAUUGCUUUAACAGAUUGUUUUAAUCUAAGAAAAGCUCUGCCACUGAUUCAUGAACGCAUCAUGAUUUUAAAUGAAAGUAAAAUGGGCCAUGCCCAUUGACACCAAAUUAUUAACCUGAUACAGAACUACCUGUGUCUCAACCAGCGUGGAUGCCUAUCUGUUAAUAAUGCAUUCUGUGAA